GGUUGUGUGACUCAGUGGUAGAACACUUGCCUCACAUGUAUGAGGCCCUAGGUUUGAUCCUUAGCACUACCU
rnacentral:tRNA from 1 species